GGAAAAAUUUCCACCAUGCAAGAAUACCAAGUUCGCCACCUUGAAUGCCUUAUAGGCACAAAGAGCCCUCAGUUCAGAUACUAUGUGUGCACAAUGAACAAGCCAUUUGUCUCACCCAGACAAAGGAUGUAUCUUGAUCAUACCGAGUACCUGCUGCCGUAUCUUGAUCCUGCAGUGAACCAUCUGCGUAUAAAGCUCGCAGGAACCUCAAUUGCACAUCGAGUUCACCUAAUGAAAGGAACAGAUGGUAGAGCAACCAUCACCACCAACUGGCAAAAUUUUGUGCACGAUGCUGGACUUCAAGAGGGAGAUAUAGUGGCCUUUGUAUUCAGCGCUCGUCGAACCAAGCUGUGCCUCCAUGUUUAACAACCCUAGCUGAAAUUAUGUAAUGAAAACAAGAUGUCUGUACAGAAAUAUCCUCAUGGUGCUACCCUUUUGUCACUUGCUGUAACUCUCAUGAAGCAAAAUAAGUAUUCCCUCCGACCCAUAUUACUUGUCUCAAAUUU